AAGAUGAAGGGGAUCAUGUUGUUGCCUCUCUUUUGCCAUGUUGUAUCUCCAGCUCCUGACAACAGCUCUGAAGUCUCCAUGAAACUGAAUCCUGAAGCCUGAAUGAAAUAAACACACCAUCCUGCAUACAGUGAUUUGCUACACAGACGACAAAACAUUUCUCCCUCAGAGUUCCCUGCUGGUCCUGUUAUUGGAGGUGUUGUAGGACUGCUGCUGCUCCUGGCAGUCUGCAUCACUGGAGUCUUCAUCUGGAGAAGGAAAAAUAAUGGAUUCAGGCCUGCAAA